GAAGUGUUUGAAAUGAUUGCCACUGGAAGGCGUCUUGUAACCCACUUUAAUCAUUCAGGUGUAGCACAGGAAAAACUGCUGGCAAUCCAGAAGGAGCUGAAUUUACCGCAGCAUCUGCUAUUGCAGGAUGUCAACACGAGGUAGCGGAACAUGAUAAACUCACCAAUUUGAUGAGUCAACAGUGGGGCUUGAUGGAGCAGUGCGUUAGGCUUUUGAAAGCAUUUGAGGAAAUAACAAAAAUAACAAGUUCUGGCUUCUCUUGUAUAUCUGAAGUGAUUUCACAUGUUGCUGCAAAGUAUUUGGACAAAGCUGAGACUGCACAAAGAACACCGAACUUAUCAAACCCGUGGUUUAAGUUAUACUAUUUAGGAAUUCUUGAAAUGGAAACAGCCCGGCAGAAAAUGUUAUUGGAGUAUAUAAAAAUAUGUUGCGACGAAUCGUUUGAGAGUAACUGCCAU